rnacentral:lncRNA from 10 species
CGGAUUGGCCCUGCGGGCUCGGCCUUUUGUCAGCAGGCCGCACACGCGCCGGACCGGGUACCGCUGUGCCCGGCCUGGCCGCGGCCUAGUCCCGGCAGACGGGACUGACGAGGUCACCAAGCCCAGGCCGAGACGGCGCGGGUGUCAGGGACUUGGGAAUCCCCCUCCCCCAGUCCCGAUCCCGCUUUCCUUUGGGGUUUCACCUCAGAGGACCCGACAGCACUCUUGCAGAACAGCCGUCUGCCUGUCUUCCUGGCUCGCUCCCUGCAGGAAUGGUCUGGGGCAACCCCAGCAACACGCCCACCUGUGGCCAGGAUGAAUAGGAAUCCAGUUCAGGCUUGGCUUCCAUGGCAAUCAAGGCCCACCAGGCCCCAGCAACCUUCCCUACCCCCCAUUCCUUUUUGCUGCCCCCCUCCACACCAGGCAUGUUCCCUGCCACACCAUGCUGUUCCCCUCACCUGGGCUGCCCUCCCAACUCCUCUCUGCCUCUGGAGAUGCUCUGCCAUUCAAGACUUGGCUCAGGCUCCAGGUCCUCCCUGGGCCUUCUAGAGCCCCUGGUUCUCACUCCUCUGAACACUUCCAGCCUGGCUAAUAGCCCACUGCAUCCUGGCCUGGGGUACAGGUGGCCAGCACAGGUGUGGGGGCCAGCUUCCAACACAAGCACGGGUAGGUCCCUCUGCAGACCAUGGGCUGCAAGAGGCCCGGCCUUGCCCACUGCAGGGGCCCUGCGCAGGGCUGGGCACGAAGCAGGUGGGUGUCCACCAAUCUAGUAUCCAAAACCCUGCUUGGUUCACCCCCACCUCUGUUGAAGGAAAGCAACACUGUGAUGGAGAGGAGCAGCUGUGGAUUCAAAUCCUGGCUUGGCCACUUUCUAGUUGUGUGACUUGGUGCAUCUGCCCUCAUCUCCUCAGAGACAAAAAUGGCAACACCUCCCUUCUUGGGUUACUAUGAGGAUUAAAUAACAAAACCUCCAAGAAGCAGA